CCUUUACUGACGCUAAAGCUCGAAGGUGCGGGUAUCGAACAGGAUUAGAUACCCUGGUAGUCCGCACGGUAAACGAUGGAUGCCCGCUGUUCGCGAUAUACUGUGAGCGGCCAAGAGAAAUCGUUAAGCAUCCCACCUGGGGAGUACGCCGGCAACGGUGAAACUCAAAGGAAUUGACGGGGGCCCGCACAAGCGGAGGAACAUGUGGUUUAAUUCGAUGAUACGCGAGGAACCUUACCCGGGCUUGAACUGCAGAGGAAUGCGGUGGAGACACCAAAGCCCUUCGGGGCCUCUGUGGAGGUGCUGCAUGGUUGUCGUCAGCUCGUGCCGUGAGGUGUCGGCUUAAGUGCCAUAACGAGCGCAACCCUUUCCGUUAGUUGCCAUCAGGUAGAGCUGGGCACUCUGGCGGUACUGCCACCGUAAGGUGUGAGGAAGGUGGGGAUGACGUCAAAUCAGCACGGCCCUUACGUCCGGGGCUACACACGUGUUACAAUGGGGAGUACAGAGAGUCGGGUGCCGGCAACGUCACCCCAAUCAUUAAAGCUCUCCUCAGUUCGGAUUGGGGUCUGCAACCCGACCCCAUGAAGCUGGAUUCGCUAGU
rnacentral:rRNA from 1 species